UGUUAUACUUGAGCGUGCCGGAAGCAUU
rnacentral:sRNA from 1 species